CAGCCGCGGUAAUUCCAGCUCCAAUAGUGUAUAUUAAAGUUGCUGUGAUUAAAACGCUCGUAGUUGAAUUAAAAUGUGAUUUUAUACAUUUUGAAGACUUUGCAUAAGUAAAGUUUCUAGAAAUGUUAAAUUAAAAUCAAAGAAGGAAACAAUUCAAGUAAUUGAGUUGUUAUUACUUUGAAUAAAAUAAGGUGUUUAAAGCAAAACAUUAUGUUAAUGAAUAUUCAAGCAUGGGACAAUGCUGAGGGGAUGUCAAUAAGACAUUUCGAGAGAAGGAUUAAAAGGAACAAUUGGGGUGAUUCAGAAAAUAACGGGAGAGGUGAAAAUCCAUGAUCGCUAUAAGAUGCACGAGAGCGAAAGCAUUUCACUCAACUGUGUCCAUUAAUCAAGAACGAAAGUUAGGGGAUCGAAGACGAUCAGAUACCGUCGUAGUCCUAACUAUAAACGAUGUCAAC
rnacentral:rRNA from 1 species